rnacentral:sRNA from 1 species
CCCUAGCCCUGAUGGGAGGGAAAAUCCUUUUUUGAUAAAACGCGAAGCAAGUUUUAUCAAAAAAGAUUACUUCACAACAUUCUUAAUU